GGAGGAGUGCCGGAGUGGUUGAACGGGACGGUCUCGAAAACCGUUGUGGGGGUAACUCCACCCAGGGUUCGAAUCCCUGCUCCUCCGCCA
rnacentral:tRNA from 1 species